rnacentral:rRNA from 1 species
AAGUGGCGAACGGGUGAGUAAUGCAUGGGUGACCUGUCCUCAAGAUGGGAAUAACCUCGCGAAAGCGGGGCUAAUACCCAAUGCCAUCUCGGUCCUACGGGAUCGGGAUGAAAGGUAGCUGUUACAGGCUGUCACUUGAGGAAGGGCUCAUGUCCCAUCAGCUAGUUGGUAGGGUAACGGCCUACCAAGGCUAUGACGGGUAGCUGGUCUGAGAGGACGACCAGCCACACUGGCACUGAGACACGGGCCAGACUCCUACGGGAGGCAGCAGUGAGGAAUCUUGCGCAAUGGACGAAAGUCUGACGCAGCGACGCCGCGUGGGGGAUGAAGGCCUUCGGGUCGUAAACCCCUUUUGGUGGGAAAGAAACACCCCGAUGUUAAUAGCGUUGGGGUUUGACGGUACCCACAGAAAAAGCCACGGCUAACUCUGUGCCAGCAGCCGCGGUAAGACAGAGGUGGCAAGCGUUGUCCGGAAUUACUGGGCGUAAAGCGCGCGUAGGCGGCUAGAUAAGUCCGGUGUGAAAUCCCACGGCUUAACCGGGGAACGGCAUCGGGGACUGUUUAGCUUGAGGACGGGAGAGGAGAGCGGAAUUCCCGGUGUAGCGGUGAAAUGCGUAGAGAUCGGGAGGAAGGCCGGUGGCGAAGGCGGCUCUCUAGAACGUCCC